rnacentral:rRNA from 1 species
CGUGUAGGCGGUGCGGUAAGUCGGGCGUGAAAUCCCCGGGCUUAACCCGGGGCGGUCGUUCGAAACUGCCGUGCUAGAGUGUGGGAGAGGGAAGUGGAAUUCCCGGUGUAGUGGUGAAAUGCGUAGAUAUCGGGAGGAACACCUGCGGCGAAGGCGGCUUCCUGGACCAUAACUGACGCUGAGGCGCGAAAGCUAGGGGAGCAAACA